GCCACAUGAUGUUUUCAUUUUGACAAGUGAGCGCUUUGCGCAGUGAUGACGUUGAUCUAUCACCCUUGACUGAUGGCU